rnacentral:tRNA from 1 species
UGUCAAGGGAUGGGAAUCGAACCCACGACCUUCUGCUUCCCGGGCAGAUGCCAUGACCACUAGGCUACCCUGGAC